rnacentral:rRNA from 1 species
ACUCCUACGGGAGGCAGCAGUGGGGAAUAUUGCACAAUGGGCGAAAGCCUGAUGGAGCAACGCCGCGUGGGUGAAGAAGGUCUUCGGAUCGUAAAACCCUGUUGUUAGAGAAGAAAGUGCGUGAGAGUAACUGUUCACGUUUCGACGGUAUCUAACCAGAAAGCCACGGCUAACUACGUGCCAGCAGCCGCGGUAAU